rnacentral:lncRNA from 1 species
UUUUUCAACACACAACAUGUAUGUAUAACUUGGUCACGUCAACUUUUGACUAGGGUUAUAAACUAUAAAGAGAUAAUAACGACCAUGAAAAUCACAAAAUUUCUUGUUUGAAAGGACGAGGAAUUUAUUUCAUUGGAUAUAUGACUCGUACAUUGGUUUCGAUAUCUCUUGACUCGUACAUUGGUUUCUGAUACGAUUGUGAGUCGAGAAGGAUCACCCUAAUGCCAACGCAGACCCACUUAUUGCUAACACAUUAUUAACUUCUCAAAACUCCUUUCAUUCUUUCAUUUUUUUGGUAAAAAUAUAGAAUGGAGCCCAAUAAAAAUAAAUAAUCAAUUUAACGAACAUUCAUAGAAAUGCAAGUGCCAACAAUAUCAUCAAACAAGAGAUUUUGAAGCUCUUUAGGAGAUGUCUCAGUAACAUCUAAGUCAAAAUAUCGAUUGAAUUCAUAUAUAUACUAAAAUUAGCUAGCCAAUCAGGGGCAGAUCUGGACUCACAAUAUUGGUGAGGCACAAUUUUAUGUCAAAUAAUCAAAUAAAACGUAAGCAUAGGAACCGAGCGCGAGUUAGCUUCCGUUUGUAGCGAGCGACAAUUAACUUGCAUUUGGGUUAUUAGGGUAAAUUUUGGGGGUAAAUGAGCAAUUUUAAAAGUGAGAAGGGUAAUAUUGAAUAACAUAUGCAAAUAUGAAGCCCAAGCCCAUAACAACAAACAAACAUCCUUAUCCUUAU